rnacentral:tRNA from 1 species
GGAGGCAUAGCUCAGUUGGCUAGAGUAUUCGCUUGACGUGCGAAAGGUCCCGGGUUCGAGCCCCCGUGCCUCCACCA